GGGGGUUUCAGGAGACCAGAGGCAUCCCGUUCUGGUUUCUGUGUUCACCCACUGAAUGUGUAUAAACUGAUUUUUAUUUUAUUUUAUUUUAUUUUACAAUGAAGCUGUCAGCCCUUAGCGGAAUAGAUGGAGCAAGACACGCACACACAUGGCUGGAAAACAUCUGUAGGACUGCAAGGUUCAGGCUGCUCUGCAUUUAAGCAGUAAGAAGAUUACUGCUCAGUGGGUACCACAAGGGGAAUGCAUUGAACCGAGAUCAUUAUUCAAAAGCUCUUGAUGGUUCCUGCAACACGAGGCCCACAGAUGAGAUCAAGGCUUCGUUGUUCUAGGUGAUACAACCACACGGAUGUCACGAGUGCCCACUGCAGGGAUGGCAGGGAAAUGAGACCAGAGAUCACAGCGAUCUUUGAAAUACUACCCCCAGCUGCUUGUUCGAGGAUCUGCUAAGCCAGCAGAGUUCCCCAGAGAGUGACAUUACCAAUAUCUCUCGGUGAGCUGACUCCACAGGCUAGAAAGGAAGAAUAAUAUUUCAAAUAAGUGGACUGACAGAGUUCAAAGGGAUAAUAAGCAUUUAAAUUCAACAUGAAAGACAUCUUCCUCUGCAGAGCUCUAGCAUGGAAUGCAGCCAGGCAGAUAAACUAUUUAAAAGCCCCUUUAAUCAAGACUAUUAACAAAGAGAUUUUUGUCUUAAUUAAAAACAUCCCCCAUUCAAUCACAUUAAAGAGAAAGUGAUACAAAAUGUAAUUUAUUUUUCUAUUUGAAAAUUUUAAAAGAACAGUAAGAACAUUUUUCCUUGCAGAGAAUCACUGCCUCAUUAAAAAUUAUCUUUGAGAGAAGAUUAAUUUAAUCUAUUCCAUGCUCACAGUUUCACUUGGAGUGAACUGUUGCGUUCAUAUUUAAAAAAAAAAAAAAAAAAAAAAAAAAAAAAAAGUAGAAAGCCUGCUUUUUUGGCUUCCCAAAUGUUUAAUUUUUUGA